rnacentral:lncRNA from 1 species
AUUGUGAUGCAAACAGUGAGGGAACAAGCUAACAGUCAUUUUACAGCUAAAGCUGGUUAAACAUACACACACAAAAUAAAAGCAGAAGCCCCACUGUUUAGAGAGUCCAGGCAACCACCAGUCCAUCUGCCUCAACAACCAGGCCACUCAAAAGCCUCAUUUCAAGGGCAAAACAUCAGAAAGGAGGAGCAAUGCAAAAGGCAAAAAAGGCUGACACAGAGCAUCCAAGAAUCAUUCAACACAAUCCGAUUUUCUCUGCUCAAGCCCACCUUCACUUUAAAAGAACAGAAAGGAUAGCCUUAGCUCCUAUCAAUGGUAUCAAGGCUUCCUCCCUUUGACAAGUAGCCCAGCAUCUGCAGUUUCAUCUCUUCAUCUUUUUUCCCCCUGUAUGCACUUGUACAAAGCCAUAGCAGCUUCAUUGUAAGCUACAUGAAAUCCUAUUGGAUUCACACUGACUACGCGUGGGAUGGUCUUGCACGCCAGAAUGAUGGGAUAUCAAUGGUCCACUCGUCUGGAUUAAAGUGAGCUGGCAACCUGCAAGAAGUAACUCAGAACAUGGGUGUGUCACUGGUUUGACAUUAAGUAGAAGCUGCUUCCAUGUGGCAAUAGGACAGUGACAAGAACCUGAUUUAGCAGCUGCCACCCUGGGAAGUGACCACUCUCAGCUCUCCUUCCAGACAGAAGCAGCAUGGAAGGGGUAUCUGAGGUCUGUGUGUGACAUCAGGCAAUGCCAACCUAUCCAGGAAGCUGGGGCUAAACACAUCGAUGCUGCCCUGCACCACCUGGAACCUCCCUGAACCCAGACAGGAACAGCAUCUUUAAAGGGCCCAACUGUUUGCUUGGAAAGACUAUCACAUGUGAAAAAAGUCUGUAUGGGAUAUGCUACCAGUGACACAGGUUACCCAGAAACACUUCCUGCCCUACACUACUGUCCUGACUUUGGAAAAAUGUGACCAAAAAAACUUCAUGCCAUAACUGUUCUUAGAUAAAGUUCUCAAGAUACAAAACUCAUUUCAUUCCUUUUCAUUUCUGAAAAUGGUUGGUAGCACAUUUAGGAGGAAAUGGAUAAUAAACUAUAUUAAAAUUAAGCUGCUGGAGAUUUAGCUCAGUGGUUCCAGUGCCUGCCUCCUAAGUGCAAGGUC